rnacentral:rRNA from 1 species
UACGUAGGGCGCGAGCGUUGUCCGGAAUUAUUGGGCGUAAAGAGCUCGUAGGCGGCCGGUGCGUCUGCUGUGAAAUCCCGGGGCUUAACCCCGGGCGUGCAGUGGAUACGGGCCGGCUGGAGGCAGGCAGGGGAGAAUGGAAUUCCCGGGUGUAGCGGUGAAAUGCGCAGAUAUCAAGGAAGAACACCCGUGGCGAAGGCGGUUCUCUGGGACGGUACUGACGCUGAGACGCGAAAGCGUGGGGAGCGAACAGG